ACCUCGGGGGGCAGCAGUGGGGAAUAUUGCACAAUGGGGGAAACCCUGAUGCAGCGACGCCGCGUGAGUGAGGAAGUAUUUCGGUAUGUAAAGCUCUAUCAGCAGGGAAGAAAAUGACGGUACCUGACUAAGAAGCCCCGGCUAACUACGUGCCAGCAGCCGCGGUAAUACGUAUGGUGCAAGCGUUAUCCGGAUUUACUGGGUGUAAAGGGAGCGCAGGCGGCGCGUUAAGCCUGGUGUGAAAGCCCGCGGCCCAACCGCGGGACUGCAUUGGGAACUGGCGCGCUGGAGUGCCGGAGGGGUAG
rnacentral:rRNA from 1 species